rnacentral:rRNA from 1 species
UACGAAGGGUGCAAACGUUGCUCGGAUUUACUGGGCGUAAAGCGCGCGCAGGCGGUUCUGUAAGUCGGACGUGAAAGCCCGGGGCUCAACCUCGGAAGUGCGUCUGAUACUGCAGGACUGGAGUACUGGAGAGGAGAGCGGAAUUCCCGGUGUAGCGGUGAAAUGCGCAGAUAUCGGGAGGAACACCAGUAGCGAAGGCGGCUCGCUGGGCCGUUCCUGACGCUGAGACGCGAAAGCUAGGGGAGCGAACAGG